rnacentral:misc_RNA from 1 species
CGCCCAGUGCUUUUGCCAGCUGUUCCUGCCCAGGUUCUCCUGGACUCCCUGAGUAGGGUGCAGUUUGACGUGUUUGAUCCAAGAUUAGAACGAGGAGUUCUGGGCAUUCCACCUUUGUGGUACCAAUUGAAAUUAAAGUGGUCGUCAUGGAGGGGGGAAUACUGAUAACUUAGUAAUCCAUUCAACGGGAAAGUUGGUGGGGUGGACAAUGCUAGAGAAUUGUCAUACUUUUGGUUCCUUUACAAUAAGGGGAUUGUCUUUCACAAGAAACAUGGUCCUAUCCUCCGCUAGUGCACGUUUCGUUUUUUGGAAUUUCCUUGAUAAUGGCAUUGUCUGGUUUUGAAAAAACGAAACGUGCACUAGCGGAGGAUA